rnacentral:rRNA from 1 species
UACGUAGGGGGCAAGCGUUGUCCGGAUUUAUUGGGCGUAAAGGGCGCGUAGGCGGUCAGCACAAGUCAGUUGUGAAAUCUCCGGGCUUAACUCGGAAAGGUCAACUGAUACUGUGCGACUAGAGUGCAGAAGGGGCAACUGGAAUUCUCGGUGUAGCGGUGAAAUGCGUAGAUAUCGAGAGGAACACCUGCGGCGAAGGCGGGUUGCUGGGCUGACACUGACGCUGAUGCGCGAAAGCCAGGGGAGCGAACGGG